AGUGAACGCUGGCGGCAGGCCUAACACAUGCAAGUCGAGCGGCAGCGCGGGGGCAACCCUGGCGGCGAGCGGCGGACGGGUGAGGAAUUCGUCGGAAUCUGCCUCUUUGUGGGGGAUAACGAAGGGAAACUUACGCUAAUACCGCAUACGUCCUACGGGUGCAAGAGGGGGACCGCAAGGCCUCACGCAGAAAGAUGAGCCGACGACCGAUUAGCUAGUUGGUGGGGUAAAGGCCCACCAAGGCGACGAUCGGUAGCUGGACUGAGAGGAUGAUCAGCCACACUGGGACUGAGACACGGCCCAGACUCCUACGGGAGGCAGCAGUGGGGAAUAUUGGACAGUGGGCGCAAGCCUGAUCCAGCCAUGCCGCGUGUGUGAAGAAGGCCUUCGGGUUGUAAAGCACUUUUGUCCGGAAAGAAAUCCCUGGAGCUAAUACCUUCGGGGGAUGACGGUACCGGAAGAAUAAGCACCGGCUAACUUCGUG
rnacentral:rRNA from 1 species